UAGGGAAUCUUCCGCAAUGGGCGAAAGCCUGACGGAGCAACGCCGCGUGAGUGAUGAAGGUCUUCGGAUCGUAAAACUCUGUUAUUAGGGAAGAACAAAUGUGUAAGUAACUAUGCACGUCUUGACGGUACCUAAUCAGAAAGCCACGGCUAACUACGUGCCAGCAGCCGCGGUAAUACGUAGGUGGCAAGCGUUAUCCGGAAUUAUUGGGCGUAAAGCGCGCGUAGGCGGUUUUUUAAGUCUGAUGUGAAAGCCCACGGCUCAACCGUGGAGGGUCAUUGGAAACUGGAAAACUUGAGUGCAGAAGAGGAAAGUGGAAUUCCAGGUGUAGCGGUGAAAUGCGCAGAGAUAUGGAGGAACACCAGUGGCGAGGGCGACUUUCUGGUCUGUAACUGACGCUGAUGUGCGAAAGCGUGGGGAUCAAACAGG
rnacentral:rRNA from 1 species